rnacentral:rRNA from 1 species
AUUGAACGCUGGCGGCAUGCCUUACACAUGCAAGUCGAACGGUAACAGGUCUUCGGAUGCUGACGAGUGGCGAACGGGUGAGUAAUACAUCGGAACGUGCCCGAUCGUGGGGGAUAACGAAGCGAAAGCUUUGCUAAUACCGCAUAAGAUCUACGGAUGAAAGCAGGGGACCGCAAGGCCUUGUGCGAACGGAGCGGCCGAUGGCAGAUUAGGUAGUUGGUGGGAUAAAAGCUUACCAAGCCGACGAUCUGUAGCUGGUCUGAGAGGACGACCAGCCACACUGGGACUGAGACACGGCCCAGACGCCUACGGGAGGCAGCAGUGGGGAAUCUUGGACAAUGGGCGAAAGCCUGAUCCAGCCAUGCCGCGUGCAGGAUGAAGGCCUUCGGGUUGUAAACUGCUUUUGUACGGAACGAAAAGACUCUUUCUAAUAAAGAGGGUCCAUGACGGUACCGUAAGAAUAAGCACCGGCUAACUACGUGCCAGCCGCCGCUGUAAAAC